rnacentral:rRNA from 1 species
UGUACUAGUUAAUCAUGUUUGAACGAUGGAGGGACGCAGGAGGCUAUGGUGUGCACACGAUUGGAAAUGUGUGUUCAAGCGUCAAGUCUGGUGAUGAGUCAAAUGCUUAUCGCUAAGGACAAGGCGUGACGAGGACCGAAUUUUAGUAGGGAAGCGCCAGAUGUCACACUGCCGAGAAAAGCUUCUAGUUAGUGAUUAAUUACCCGUACCGCAAACCGACACAGGUAGUCGAGGAGAGUAUCCUAAGGUGA